GGGGAUUUAGCUCAGUGGUAGAGCGCUUGCCUAGCAAGCACAAGGCCCUGGCCUGGGUUCGGUCCCCAGCUCCG
rnacentral:tRNA from 1 species